rnacentral:rRNA from 1 species
CACGUAGGGUGCGAGCGUUGUCCGGAAUUAUUGGGCGUAAAGAGCUCGUAGGCGGUGUGUCGCGUCGGCCGUGAAAACCUGCAGCUUAACUGUGGGCUUGCGGUCGAUACGGGCAUCACUGGAGUUCGGCAGGGGAGACUGGAAUUCCUGGUGUAGCGGUGGAAUGCGCAGAUAUCAGGAGGAACACCGGUGGCGAAGGCGGGUCUCUGGGCCGACAUUGACGCUGAGGAGCGAAAGCGUGGGGAGCGAACAGG